rnacentral:rRNA from 1 species
CCAGCAGCCGCGGUAAUUCCAGCUCCAAUAGCGUAUAUUAAAGUUGUUGCAGUUAAAAAGCUCGUAGUUGGAUUUGUGGCGGGAAGGACCGUUUGAGACUUGAUUGUCUUUGAAACGUGUACUUUCGAGCCAUGUCCGCAGAGAACGUUGUUGUCAUUGGUUUGAUGACAUCGGGAGCUGCGUCAUUUACUGUGAAAAAAUUAGAGUGUUUAAAGCAGGCAAUAGGCUUGAAUACAUUAGCAUGGAAUAAUAAGAUAGGACUUUGGUACUAUUUUGUUGGUUUGCAUACCAAAGUAAUGGUUAAUAGGAACAGUUGUGGAUAUUCGUAUGAGCAUGUCAGAGGUGAAAUUCUUGGAUUUUGGUCAGACGAACGACUGCGAAAGCAUUU